rnacentral:rRNA from 1 species
UACGAGAGGCCCAAACGUUGUUCGGAUUUACUGGGCGUAAAGCGCGUGUAGGCGGCUUUGCAAGUCGGAUGUGAAAUCCCACGGCUCAACCGUGGAAGUGCAUCCGAAACUGCAUCGCUCGAGUCUCGGAGAGGAAGGUGGAAUGCUUGGUGUAGAGGUGAAAUUCGUAGAUAUCAAGCAGAACACCUGCGGCGAAGGCGGCCUUCUGGACGAUGACUGACGCUGAGACGCGAAAGCGUGGGGAGCAAACAGG